GUGCUUGCUUCAGCAACACAUAUACUAAAAUUGGAAUGAUACAGAGAAGAUUAGCAUGACCCAUGAGCAAGGAUGACACGCAAAUUCGUGAAAUGUUCCAUUCAAGU
ensembl:snRNA U6 U6 spliceosomal RNA